AGAUACUCAGACAACAGCUGGAGUGUUGCCUUGAGAGUAAGAUGGGAUCUAGUGCCCAAUUGGAUAAACAUAAACAAAGAAAGACCUUGAUUCUCUGGCAGCAGCUACUUGGGCGGCUGGAAUAAUCCCUGGACUCAGACCAGCAUGGACCCUCUUUAGAAACUCUGAGUAUCUUCAUUUCUGCCGUCAGACAAUACAUCAGUUCCACCUUCCACCAUAUCUCAUUUGACCUUUAGAUGACCUCUGCCCUGUCUCCCCAAGUCUUUUCCCAUACCCCUCUCUGACCCUAUCUCUGACUGUCAAUGCCAGUGGAAUGAACUUUUAAAAAUACAAAUCUAAAUGGUUAACCACAAUCAGUGAUCAACUUUAAGGCCUACCUCUUGCCCUCAGGCUCAACAAAAAAGUCCUCAAAUGUUUAUCCCCAAAGAAUAAAAAUGUCCUUUUUCGCAGGUGAUGCAUUCUUUCAAUCUCAAGAAGUCCUACCCCCAAACAGAGGCAGAACCACCAAUUUGGUUCCUUUUACUCCAUUUUGGCAUAAUCUCUCUUUUCAGACUCAAGUCCCUUUCUAUGAAAAAAAAGGAGUUUUAUAUUGUUAAGCUGCCACCAGUGGCUAAUAAAGUAAACAAACCUGUUGAGGAGAUGGAGCAGUGUUUUACAGGCAAAGACAAAGGUGGACAGUGAAAAAAUGUCAGUAAAUAAAAAAAAAUUAGCUCUU